CUGAGCUGCGGGACCGGCACCGGCACCGGCACCGGGGCAACCGGAACAACGCCGCCGUGCCAGGACCGGGCUGCGGGCACCGGGGGACCGGGAGAACGCCGCCGUGCCGGUACCGGGGAACGGCACCGGGGAAACGGCUGCAGGACCAGAACGCCGCCGUGCCGGUACCGGCGGAAGGGCACAGGGGGAACCGGGAGGACUCCGCCGUGCCGGUACCGGGGAGGAACUGCGGGACCAGAACGCCGCCGUGCCGGUACCGGGGCCGGGGCCGUGCCCCCGGGACGAACCGUGCCCCGGGACGAACCGUGCCCCGGGACCAGCCGUGCCCCCGGACCAGCCGUGCCCCGGGACGAACCGUGCCGCCCCCCGGGACCAGCCGUGCCCCGGGACCCGCUGUGCACCGGGACCAGCCGUGCCCCGGGACGAACCGUGCCCCGGGACGAACCGUGCCGCCCCCGGGACGAACCGUGCCGCACGGCUGAGGGAGCAGCGCCACCGGAGCGAGUCACGGAGCAAACGGAAAUAUAACACUGUGUAUCGCAGCACCUUUUUAAAGGUUUUUAAUGGAUAAUAUUUAUUCAUGAGGAAAUGACUGAAAAGGAAAAGAUUUAGACAAAAGAAGCCACCUGUCACAGCAGUCCCCUGCAGCGCUGUGUGUGUGAGUGUGAGUGUGCAGAGCCACCCCAGGGCACGGCCCUGCCAGGUGUGCCAGCCCCGGGCACACCCACCCCACACACACCUCCCUCCCUGGAUGCCAUCCCCACUUUAGACUAUUUUGUACCCGCCUUUCAAGUCAAUACAGUGCAAUUGCAAACAGCGUGUUUGUCUGCUAAUUAUUGUCUGUGGAAACAUAUUUGUGGAGAAAAACAAAAACAACAACAACAAAAAAAGACAGGCUUUAGUAGAGUUUUAGUCCCACCUGGGUAUCUGCUUUCUAUUUUUGUUAUCACUUACUUGUAAGAGUGUGACUAGACUACAGUUCUGUAUUUUUAAAAAGGAAAAAAAAGGUAGAAUUCUUUUUUAAUACUGUGCACACAAGAGGCAAAGAACGAAAGCACUGAACUCAGCUUCAAGCGUUCCUGAGUCUAACAGGGGUUCCUGGUAAUGUAUGCCCAUGCUUUUAACUUUUGGUUCCUACAGAGAAAUUCCUUUGCUAGCACUGGACGUGUAACCCGUUGUAAAUAGUAGCCAAAUAAUGUCUGGAUUUAUACUUGAUAAUAAUUAAUCCCAGAGCCGAAUACUUUGCAUGGACAGAGAGGUAUUUGGCUUUUGCAGAGUCUUAGGGCUCCACUUGUCCCGUCCAUGGCUCCUGGGCUGCGUUGAUUUUGGGGAUAGACAAGUCAGCAGUUCCAGUUCUCCACCCAGCACAGGAUCUGCCUGAGGAGGGGAGCAGGACUGGAGCUGGAAAACAUUGGCUCAUGUGUUGGUACAGACAGCAUUUCUAUCCACAGUUCUACACUUAGUUUGGGAGAAGUCUAAGCAUGAACUAACAGCUAACCAAAAACGGGAGAACACUGUGUGGUACUGCCAGGAACCUCAUCCUGGCACCGAGCCCUUCCCAGGAAGGAUUCCUCAGAGAAAUUCAUGGCCUGAACCACAGCCCAUCCCCUGCCCAGAGGAGCUCCUGCCUGCUCUGCCUUCCUGGAGUCCCUUCUGCAGGGAUCCCGGGGGGCAGAGGGGAACACCCCCUCCCCUGCCCCACCUGGCUGGCCCCUGGUCAUGCCCAGACUCCCCAAGGCCCCUGCACGGCCCCAGAGCCCGGGGGGACGGGGAGAUCCCAAUCCUGUCCUGAGCAGGGACUGUGCCCCCUCAGAGGUACAGGAACAGCUCCAGGAGUGCUUCAGGCUGCUCAGCAAAGGGAUGGUGGUUUUUAACAUCUGUCAUAACCUCUCCCGAUGUAAUAUUUAUCUGCACAUAUACACACACAUAUAAGUAAUUACAGACACAUACAUGUAUAGAUAAUUACUGCUGAUUACACAUAGAGCUGCACCCUGCUUUGGCAGCACUCCUGCUGUGAGCGAUGGCUGAUGCAUUAACUCAGAACCCUCCUUAGAAUCCUACAACAUCCUAGGAACCCCAGGGCUAUGGCUGAGCCUCCAGCAGCUGCACCAGCUUCCAGUCAUUUAUUCCAGUGCUGUAAUAUGUUACCCAAUACUAUGUUUAGUCCUGGUUUAGAAGAUUAAAAUGCUCUGCCUUUUGCUGCUUCCUGUAGGACGUUAUACUGCAGUUAAUCUUACCAUUACUGAGGCUUUUUUCAAUGUUUUAAUUUAAUUUUUGCUUUAUUUUCAUUAACUGUCAUCAUCUGAGCACCCCUGCCCUUCUAGAUCAGAGGCCUUGCCCUGCACCACUCGCCACCUUUGCAACCUCAUCUCCACUGGCACAGAGUGAGGGUGAAUGUCCCUGUGCUGAUGGGGACAGGACUAAAAAUUACAGUCAGAUGGAUUCUUGGUGCUGCCCGAUUCCUGAUUUAGGGUGGAGUGCUGACCCAGGCACUUCCCAUCUCUGCACCUGUAAAUAGCCACCCCGCAGCCUCAUCCAAACCCCUACCAGGGCUUUUCAUCGCUGCCAACCAAACCUUUGGAAAGGGGAGUGUAGCAUUCCAGUUUGAGAGGUUAAAAAGAAUGAGGAGAACCAGUUCCAGGAGUUUCUGGCUGGCUGCUUGGGCUCUGUUUUCUUCCACAAACCGGGAAUGGUGAUCCUGGCUGGGAGCCAGGGCUCGUGUCUCUGCCGUGAGUGGGGCAGGUGCUGCCCCAGGCUGCCAGCUCCUCAGCACAGGCUCUCAGGGGCUGAAAACACACAGAACCAGGGAGGUCUGAGCCUGGAGGAACAGGGCUAAAAGUAUUUUUAAUGGAGCCAUUAGCUCCCCUUAUCCUCUGAAGCCGCCCAAGUAAAGUUUCCAAAAGCACCUGGAACUGCGUGGUGGAAAGCCUGGGAUUUCCUCAGGAGAGCACUGUGCACCCCCAGGAGCUGCAGGGACAGGGAUCCAUCCCUGGAGGGACAGGACAGGGAUCCAUCCCCACAGGGACAGGGAUCCAUCCUCACAGGGACAGGACAAGGAUCUAUCCCUGCAGGGAUAGGACAGGGAUCCAUCCCUGCAGGGACAGGGAUCCAUCCCUGCAGGGACAGGACAGGGAUCCACCCCUGGAAGGACAGGGAUCCAUCCUCACAGGGACAGGGAUCCAUCCCUGGAGGGACAGGACAAGGAUCCGUCCCCACAGGGACAGGACAGUGACCCAUCCCUGCAGGGGUGGAUCCCAGGGCUGGAAAUGGGGCAGGGUAGGGUGUGCAGCCAGCAGAGCAAGGAGCUGCCCUACAGCCCCUCGAUCCUGACCCAAGGGGGCAGGAGGGCUUCCCCAAAUUUAGCAUCCUUAAACAGCACCGAGAACAGGCCAAGCCACCCCUGAGAAUUCCCAAGGCAGAACUUCACCUGAAGGAGAGGCUCGUCCCCAGUGCUCCCAGUGCUCCCAGUGCUGCCCUGCCUCCGGCACCCCAAGCCCUCCUGGGCACCCCGAGCCUGACCCCGCCAGGGCAGGGGCUGCUCCUGGUGCUGCUCCUGCAGAGGUGCAGCUGGAGCAGCCCAGAGCAGCCCCCGGAGCAGGGGCAGGACUGGAACAGCCCCCUGAGCCUGCAGAACAGCAGUGCUGUGCUGGCACCUCAGCUCAGCCUUCCCCCUCCUCUCAUUCCUUCUGACUUUUUAUAGUUUUAGAGAAGCUCCUUUAAAAGAGGUAAAAAUGGAUUCUUUGUACAAAAAGCAAGUGGAAGGGCAUUAUUUUUUUCAGAUUUUCCUAAAGCAAUAUAAAAAUAUCAAAGGAGCAACUCCUUUUUCUGAGCAUUUUUUUUUCCUUUCCAAAGCUUUUUCUGAAGGAAAAAUAUUUUCACCGUUUUUCAGCCUAUUCUAUCAAUAGAUUUCCUCUCUUCUCAGCUGGCAUUGAGCUGCUAACAGGAUUCACACCCAGCUGGCAGCAAAUGAUUCUUUCACACAUAGGCUUUGACUUCCAUCUACUUUCUAAAGCCACCUUUUGCUUUCAGUUUCCUUAAAAAGACAACCUAAGUAACACACAUGGCAUUAGUGCAGAAUAAACCUCAUGGAUAAUUCAAAAUACAUCUUUCUUUAAUUGGCCAGAAAGACCAGAUUAAAUCAAUGCCACUUGCUUAACCUAAAGCUGUUGCUAAUACACCUGUCCUGUAACCCAGCACUCGUCAUUCUAGUCUAGAACAGCUUAAGGUGUGUGCAUGAAAAUCAGAUUAACACCAGCUAAGGAAUGCAAAUUUCCUUCAAGAGUUUGCUUUUUUAAGUAAAGAGGUUGCAAACAUGUUGCAUCUUACAUGUAUUGUAAAGAAAAUUCAGGAAAUUAAACAUCACAUUUAAUUUAUGUGUUGUAACAUCCCUUGGACUUUGUAAUAUUUUAAUCUGUUGGACUAAGGCAGAGUUAAAGUCAGCACUCGUGCAGAGCUGGUGAACAUCAGCUUUGAGCCACAAAUUUAAUUCUGCUGUUAAAGUUAGGUGAAUAAAACACCUUUUCCACAUCACUCCCCCAUCCAGUCUAUCUCAAUAUUUUGUUUUAGAGCGCUUAUCCUGCUCCAGCACUUGGAGCCAACUGCAGUAGGUCCAUGGGUUUAGAGCCCGAGUUUUAGGCUUUGUCUUUGCCAAAACCGCUGUCCAUGGUGAUUUUCUCUUUCGAAAAGUGUCAGUGAGGGAAGGCAGUGAACAUCAGGAGCCGAGCACAGCAGCCUGGGCUCUGCUCCUGAUCUCCUGAGCAAUCGGCAGGUGACCUCGGGGAAGUCACUGCAGCUCUCUGGCAGCCCCUGGGGCAGCAGCACCUCCUCCUGCACCAGUGGAGCUCAGCUGGUGACACCCCAAAACGCCCCAGGGAAUUCUGGAGAGGGCCAGAACUGCUGCCCCUGCUCGGGGAGCAGAGCCCGCGCCAGGAGCUCAGGUGGAGCAAAGAGCAGGGGACACAGAGCCUGUGGCAGUCCCUCCUCCUGUUCCCCGUCUGUUCCUCUGUGUGUCCGUGUGUCCCUCCCCUCCCUGGUUAAACCAGUGCUGCCCCAGAGCCUCGGCUGGGGAAGGUCCCACCACACCCUUCAGCCACCCCUGGGAGCUCCCAGGGGCUCCCUGGACCAACCAAGUCUCCAAAAAGGGUGUGAUGGUCUAUUUUUGAUAAACAGUACGGCAUUCCAAUGCAAUGGUGUUUUCUUUAGGAGUUCUAUGUUGUACGAAGCUCUCAACCUUAUUAUUUUCUAUUUUCGUACUUUAAAUGGGCUUUGCUUUACAAAUGUCAGAGGACAGAUUGGAAAUGUACUGGACACAACUGCAGGUAGCUUCAUUUGAGAACAACUUUCUAGAAGAACAAGUUUCCUGUUGUCUUCUUUUGGAAUUGUAGUGCAUAUGUUGAAACUUGUAUAUCAUUUACAGUAUUGAGUCUCGUGCCACUGCUGUACCUGAUGUAUCCAAUCUGGAUUAAACAGAGUAUGUGCCACAAA